UUUGCUUUUCUUGAAUCCUCAAUAAUUGUUAUCUAAAACAAGAAAAAGAAUCCCUCAAUCAUUGUGAUAUCCUCUUCGUAAGCUUGCCUGAGCUCUUAUCUUUUGAUUUUUGUAUGAGUUUUUCAGAGGUUUGUUUUCCCUCUUUCCAUCUUCGACCCGAUUGAAGCUUCCGGGAUCUUCUUCUUCGAGUGACAACAAAUCAUUUAUGUUGAAAGAAGGUAGAUACUUCAGCUUGGCCAUGGCUUCUACACAAUUUCAAGGAGUGUCGUCAUCUUCAGUCGUACUAACAACAUGAGACGAAACAGUUUAAGUUGGAAAACUCUUUGGAAAGCAGUCUUUCAAGGUAUUGAGCAUCAUUUGUUGGGUUUUAUGUCCUGCCUGUCACUCUCUAUUGUGACAACGGUGGAGCAGUUGCAAAUUCAAAGGAACCACGAAGCCAUAAAAAGGGAAAGCAUAUUAAAUGAAAGUACCAUCUCAUUAGGGAGAUUGUACACAGAGGAGACAUAAUCGUCACCCAGAUCGCUUCCUAAGAUAACUUAGCUGAUCCAUUUAUGAAGGCCUUCUCGGCUAAAGUAUUCGAGGGUCACCUAGUAGGGCUACGUCUACAAGUUUUUUAUCACUAGGGUAAGUGGGAGAAUUUAUGGGUAUUGUAAUGCCCUAGUUUAUUGUAUUUGUACAUUUUAUUCUCUCCAUGUAAACUCAACAUUGUAUAUAUUUGUAUAUAUUGAUCCACUGGAGUUUUA